CUCUUCAAAGCCUCGCGAUCCAGUACACAAGUCCGGCUGCGUAAGCGGGGACAUCGUCUAACGCUUCCGACGAAAGACUUUGGACGUUCUGCGGCUCUGUGCUUCACAGAGACCUGGCUUUGUGGACGAGUGCCCGACGCUGGUAUCACGCUGCCCUGUCUCAACCUCCAUCGUGCUGAUGUGUCGCCGAGCUAAGCUAACGAGCUUAAUCGAUGCUCUUUCCAGAAGGCCAACAAUACAGUCCAAAUUCCGUCUGAGGAAAAAUCAGAGCCAGAACGUGACGCUACCACCACCAUUCUUCGGUGUAGAUGAGCGGAUCUUGUUGAAGCCUCUCUCCAUGAUGUUCUGGCACUCGAGCAGGAACUCGCAGCGUUUUCCCUGGAAGUUCUCCUCCUCCCACAUGGUGAUCUUGAACUGGCCCAUCUGCU